rnacentral:rRNA from 1 species
GACGAACGCUGGCGGCGUGCCUAAUACAUGCAAGUCGAACGCAGUGGGGACGGGUGAUUAAAACGUGGGUAACCUCCCAUCAGAGGGGAUAACACUUGGAAACAGGUGCUAAACCGAUACUGAUGGAUGGACCCGCGGGGCAUUAGCUAGUUGGUGAGGUAACGGCGCACCAAGGCCACGAUGCAUAGCCGGUCUGAGAGGUGGAUCGGCCACACUGGAACUGAGACACGGCCCAGACUCCUACGGGAGGCAGCAGUAGGGAAUAUUCGGCAAUGGACGCAAGUCUGACCGAGCAACGCCGCGUGAGUGAAGAAGGUUUUCGGAUCGUAAAGUUCUGUUGUGAGAGAAGCGGUAUCUAACCAGAAAGCCACGGCUAACUACGUGCCAGCAGCCGCGGUAAUUC